GAUGAAGAACGUAGCGAAAUGCGAUAAGUAAUGUGAAUUGCAGAAUUCCGUGAAUCAUCGAAUCUUUGAACGCAUAUUGCGCCCCCUGGUAUUCCGGGGGGCAUGCCUGUUCGAGCGUCAUUUCACCACUCAAGCCUCGCUUGGUAUUGGGCAACGCGGUCCGCCGCGUGCCUCAAAUCGACCGGCUGGGUCUUCUGUCCCCUAAGCGUUGUGGAAACUAUUCGCUAAAGGGUGUUCGGGAGGCUACGCCGUAAAACAACCCCAUUUCUAAGGUUGACCUCGGAUCAGGUAGGGAUACCCGCUGAACUUAAGCAUAUCAAUAAGCGGAGGA
rnacentral:misc_RNA from 1 species